rnacentral:lncRNA from 1 species
UUAGGGAAGCAACUAAAUGGAGGCUUUGUGACUUUUCUACAGCAGCUAUAUUCCUCUCCUAUACCUUCGCCACAAAGGAAGAUUGCUUCUGGUCCCCUACCAUGACCCUGAUCUUUUCCUUGAGCACGCAAUCAAGGCCUAGAAGAACAGUAAGUACAAAGUCCCUUGUUUUGAUGGCUCUCAGACACGUUUAUUCUGUUGUUGCAGAGCAAGUUCUCUUUGGCUCUGUGGAUGUCCUCUGUCACCAGUUCUUUGCAAUCAUGCCAGAAAGAUUUUAGAUAAAUUGCUCAGAAUAGCUGGCAUGGGUUUAUUAGAAAGGAUAGGAAAAGGGAAAAAGAUAAAACUCUUGAGGAAGAGAAUGGCUCCUUUCAGAGACGAGAGGCAUGGCACACCCCUCCUGCCCUCUAGUUUUAUUAGGGAUCCCAGGAAAGUUUCCAGAGAGUCCUGUUCAGAUCCAUCUCUUGAUUUUUAAUUGACAAUAAGAUUGCACUGGACUUUCAAGUCACCCAUGCACAUGGUCUUGUCCCAGGGAGGGGAUAUUUUAUUAUUAUAAUGACAUGCUAGAGAUCCAAGGCAACUCUGGGUCACUUUGGCCCAUGCAGACUGGUUCUAAUUGGAACUUGUUUUUACAGAUUUUAUAGUUGAAGGGCUGUGCUUCUAAUUAUCUUGUCCCCUUGAGUCCUGAAAUCUGGUCUGCAUAAAGGUCACAAAUGUCCCCGCUCCAGGGUAACUUCUGUUCUUAUCGGUAGAGAAGAGUUUUUGAGCUUGCAUUUCUCCUGCAGAGAACAGGGUUUUUGCUGAGGGAUGUAACAUAUCCCACUGACUUAAGCCAGGAAAGGGCCACAGGUAAAUUGCUUUUAAAAAAGAAAGUGUGUAGGUGUCAGCCCAGUAGGCCCAGUCUAUAGAAUUAUCCCCUUAAUCUUAGGUUCCCACUGCUUAUGUCUCUCUGUUAUGUAUCACUGUCGUGUUAGCUCAAGGUCAGAUUUCUGCAAUUUGUUAGACAUUUUGGAUGAAUUCUUCUUACUUAUUUGAUGAUAACUAGCAUUGCUAUUUCUUGUGCUCAGUCAAAGGUGAGACACAGUUGGCAUCUUGUAUUCUUGGAGGGACUUUGAAUUUCUGGUUACCUGAUUGUUCUAUGGUCUCAGAUAUCUGGUGGGUUCAAUAACAAUUAAGAUUUGUAUUUUAUCUGUAGUAUUUCUUAUUUCUAGGUCAGGAGCCAUGUUCCUGUCUACCAAGUCCUUAUAGAAGCAGAACUUCAGUUGUAUCUUUAAAAAACACCUGAGAGACUAAAAUUUUACAAAUUUGCUCUUCACAUUUAGGAAUAUGAAAACACUCAAAUAUCAUGAGUACCAUAGUAUCAGGUAAAUGAAAGUGUUAUCAUCAUUCCCCUGUCCUAUAAGAAGCCAUGGGAUGUCAUAGGAAUGUCCUUUUCUGGGUAGAAAUGGCUGGGUAAUGACCAAAAUCUUUAUGUUACCAUCUAACCGUGUCUAGAACAGAGAAUAUUGAAGAAUUAUGUGAUCCUCUUUCAAGUUUGACCCAUAAAAGCCUCUCAUGUGAUGCUCCUCCAUGCCUCUCUUUCUGCCACCAGAUGGAUGCAAACAGCCACUGUGAUGGGGCAAGUCAUAUGUGUGAGAUGGCAGAAGCUCCAUCAGCCUGGGUCCCUAAUGGCCAUGUACAUCAGAGCUCAUGCGCUCCUACUUCCCCAACCUGGAACCAACUUGGAUUAUUUCAUGAAUAAGAAAUCAACUUUUUGAUAUGUUUUAGCUAUUAUUACCUAUUGAGAUCAAAAUGUCACAGCAAAUAGUCAACCUUAAUAUCCUUUCCUUUCUUUCUCUUGUCCCGUCAUCUUGUCAACAAGCUCUGAUAGGAGAUUUUUAUCAGGCUUGUCAGUUAUCUGUAGGCCAUUCAUAAGACAUACUCUUCUAAACCCUUGCCAUUCAUUCAUGUGCUGGAGAAGAUAAGAAACUAAAACUCAGUUGAGAGUCAGGAAAACAUUUUUUAAGUGUUAUAGAGGCUUCAUCUGAUGUAUUGACUUCAGUUAUUAGUGCUGCUUGUAGUGCUGUGUUGGGAAAUUAUUUGAGGCAGUGUGGAGGCUAAUAGAAAAGAACAUUGUGAUUAAUUAGCAAUAACUGUCACGGGCAAGUGAGGUAAGAACAAUGGCAUGCAUUCAAAAACUUAAGUCAUUCCUGGGACUGAAGCCAACCCUUUGGAUGUGCACAGUGGGCUAUUCGUCAAAAUACAACCCAGAUUUGUAAGUCCCAUGUAAGAAGCUCUGAUCAUUAAGGCAACAUCCCUGCCAUGGCUCUUACUUAUAUAAAUUGGUAUGAUUUCUCAAAAGCCUUGAAAAGCUUAUGGAAAAAAAAUGUAGAUUUCCCUUUGCCUAAAUUCUGCUUGUUUAGUUUAGAGACCAGGUAUGUUUCAGGACUCAAAAGUUCUAUUAAAACAGUUUUGAAGAAACCUGCACUGCUGCCACCUAAGCAGUCUGGAUAAGCAGAUUAUUCUAUUCUCUAGGAUUGAGACCUGGUGCCUUUAAAUCUAAAACAAAUUAACUUUCUGUCUGGCUUAUAGACUGGCUUGAAAAAUAGAAAGACACAAAGAAUAUUCCCCUGAUAUAGGUGGUUAAGAAGACCCCCUCCUCUGCUGUGGAAACUAGAGCUUACUCACAGUGGCUCUCAAAUUCUUGGGUUUCUUUUUGUUUUUUAUUGGUUGUUCAAAACAUUACAAUGCUCUUGACAUAUCAUAUUUCAUACAUUUGAUUCAAGUGGGUUAUGAACUCCCAUUUUUACUACGUAUAUUCUUGGGUUUCUUUAGCUACACAUACUUACUGUUCUUUUAGAUGACAAAAUGCUGCAGUUCAGACACGCACAUCUGAGUACAACUUGUACUAUAUGCAAACAAAAUCUCAGCCUAACCUCUUUAACAAAAGCAUUAGAGAUUUUCUAUGUUCGUAGGAAAUGGGAAAGUGUAAUUCCAUUUCAAUGCAAAAUAAAAUCAAUGAGUUAAGUCAAGAAAUUCAGGUCAUUUCUAAUUGUGAAGAAACAGACUUAUCUCAGUUAAUAGAUAUUCUGAAAAAACAAAAACAAACAAAACACAGCUGAUCUAGAGUCUUUAAAAAAAGGAUCAACGUCACAAAAGGAUUUAAAAAAAUACUAAAAUACUGUUAACAUGGUGAAUUACCUUAGAUCAAAAGAGACCAAAGAACACAACUAAAUGCAAUGUGCCUCUCGAAUCAAACAGAACACACAAAAACAAAAUUGGUAUGUUUAGGCCCAUUGGAGAAAUUUGAAUAUAAAAUUUUAUAUUACAAAAUAGGACCCUAUCAAGGUUAAAUUUCUUAAGUGUGAUAACUGUAGAAGGAUGUCCUUGUUCUUUGAACACAGGUGCUGUAGGAUUUAAGCCCUUGGUGUCAAAGUGUCUGCAUUUUUCUCAGAUGUUUCAUACAGAGAGGUAAAGCUAAUAUGGCAAGAGUGGGUGCAGCUAGGUGAAGGGGAGAUAAGCACUUACUAUUCCAGUCUUAUAAAUUUUCUAUAAGUUUGAAUAUUUUUAAAUAAAGAGUUGAUAAAAAUAAAUAAAAUGACAAAACAGACAAUUUGUAUUUUGUUUUUAUUUUA